rnacentral:rRNA from 1 species
GACGUAGGGGGCGAGCGUUUGUCCGGAUUUAUUGGGCGUAAAGAGCUCGUAGGCGGCUCAGCAAGUCAGGUGUGAAACCUCCAGGCUUAACCUGGAGACGCCACCUGAUACUGCUGUGGCUGGAGUCCGGUAGGGGAGCAGGGAAUAUCCGGUGUAGCGGUGAAAUGCUUAGAUAUCGGGUGGAACACCAGUGGCGAAGGCGCUGCUUGGUCGGGCGACUGA